GUCCAGACACCAGCAGCCUCUCCAUGCAAACCAGGCAACGCUGCAGGAACUGUGCUUGGAGAAACCGUGGAAACUGCCCCUAACCCUCCCGUCUCUAUUUCUUUCUCUGCUUUAUUACCUCACUCUUGGCUGUGAGGUAAAACAGGAGAAAAUGAGAAGGUGGUUCUGGAGGACCCGACUGUAUUUGCUUUGGUGACAGGGUCAAGCACCCUUUCCUCGCCGGACGCAGCCCUCACCGAAGGGGAUUUGGGGGCCUCUGGGCAGGGGUCCUGAAGGCUUUGAAUUGUUCAAUCUCUGGGGGUACAGGAACUCCCGCAGAAGGUUUCAAAGACAAGAGUUUCGCGAGAGAAAAAAACCAUGAACUUUGCAGGUUGGUGGUGGAAUCUGGUGAUUUAAGAAAACGUGUUUCUAAAGCCUCGGCCGGGCCACGCCUGGGCUGUCUGCGGUGCUCUUCCGGAAUUCUCUACAAUAUCUGGAAGUGACCAAGAAAAUUCCAGAACCCGGAGGCUGUGCCGUGGAGAUAAACAUGGGCACCUGGGGCCUGUGUUCCCCCUGCACGUCCCCGGGAAGGAACUGCUGGACCAGUGGAAUGAAGGGCCAACGCCAGGGGCAGCACCGCCCGGCCUCAGAGGACUGUGGCCCCACAGAUGACAUCCUCAGCUACCAGUUCCUGCAUCUGGAAGAUGACCAGGAGGAGGGACGGUCUGCAAGUGUUCAAAGUGAUGUUUCCAGGCCGGGCGCGCUUGUAAUCCCAGCCCUUUGGGAGGCUGAGGCAGGCGGAUCACCUGAGGUUGGAAGUUCGAGACCAGCCUGACCAACAUGGAGAAACC
rnacentral:lncRNA from 1 species